AGUGAACGCUGGCGGCGUGCCUAACACAUGCAAGUCGUACGAGAAAGGGGCUUCGGCCCUGAGUAGAGUGGCGCACGGGUGAGUAACGCGUGGGUAAUCUGCCCUUGGAUUUGGAAUAACUCCGCGAAAGUGGAGCUAAUACCGGAUAGUCUGGCUUUUUAACGAAGUCGGUAAAGGAUGCCUCUGCAUAUGCAUUCGUCCGAGGAUGAGCCCGCGUCUCAUUAGCUAGUUGGUAGGGUAAUGGCCUACCAAGGCAACGAUGAGUAGCUGGCCUGCGAGGAUGAUCAGCCAAACUGGAACUGAAACACGGUCCAGACUCCUACGGGAGGCAGCAGUGGGGAAUAUUGCGCAAUGGGCGAAAGCCUGACGCAGCAACGCCGUGUGAGGGAUGAAGGCUUUCGGGUCGUAAACCUCUGUCAGAAGGGAAGGACGGGCAUUGGUCUAAUAGGCCUUUGUUUUGACGGUACCUUCAGAGGAAGCACCGGCUAACUCCGUGCCAGCCGCCGCAGUAAGAC
rnacentral:rRNA from 1 species